rnacentral:rRNA from 1 species
CCUACGGGGGGCAGCAGUGAGGAAUAUUGGUCAAUGGCCGGGAGGCUGAACCAGCCAAGUCGCGUGAGGGAAGACGGCCCUACGGGUUGUAAACCUCUUUUGUCAGGGAGCAAGGUGCAGGUCGGGACCUGCUGUGAGAGUACCUGAAGAAAAAGCAUCGGCUAACUCCGUGCCAGCAGCCGCGGUAAUACGGAGGAUGCGAGCGUUAUCCGGAUUUAUUGGGUUUAAAGGGUGCGCAGGCGGAGGCACAAGUCAGCGGUAAAAUCGCGGGGCGCAACCCCGCUCCGCCGUUGAAACUGUGUCCCUGGAGUGCGGGAGGGGCAGGCGGAAUUCCUGGUGUAGCGGUGAAAUGCGUAGAUAUCAGGAGGAACACCGGCGGCGAAGGCGGCCUGCUGGACCGCGACUGACGUUGAGGCUCGAAAGCGUGGGGAGCGAACAGGAUUAGAUACCCUGGUAGUC